CGUACGGAAUUCUGGGAUUUAAAAUGGCGGCAUAGGUUAUUAUUUUUCCCAAAGAAGAAAUGAUGCCGUGAUUUAAAGUUAAAUAAAGCUAUUCCACACAUACACACACGAUUUUGGAUUCAGCAAAGUAAAGUUGAAGAUCCUACAUGUAUAUUUGAGCACCCUUGGUGGCAGUAAUGACAAGGAAGUUCUAAAAAGAUUUAUAUGGGCUUUAUAAUGAAAGUUAGACAACACUACUACUUGCCAAACACUACUACUUGUCACAUAAUGCAUGGCGGUCAGGAAGGAAAGAGGAAAAAUGCGAAAAGAAGAUUAUAUUAUUAUUCAGAAAUUUCAUUCAAAAUUAAUAGAAGAAAUAGACCCUAAUUCCAUCAUAAACCAUCUUUUUUCCUCUGGUCUAUUCGAUGAUGUGGACUUGGAACAAGUUAAGGCCCAACAAGAAAAAAGUGGGCGUACCGCAGGUGCAGAAAAGAUUAUGGAGAUUUUAUACCGUUCAGGUGCCGACGCUUUUCCUAAGUUCUUGGAAAUCUUGCGUAAAGCGGCGUAUACCCGAUUAGCUACACACCUUGAGGAAGAACAGCAAAUUCAACAAGGACAAGCAGUUCCAAAAGAACAUACACUUACAGAAAAAAAAAACAACCCAUAAACUCUCUUCUUAAGGACUUCACCAUUGUGUUUUCUCACUAUAUGUAACAGGAACACUGAUAGUUUUUUCUUCUAUACGUUUUAUGUCAGUUACACAAUAGUCUACAUUUCAAUAUUUAAGAUUAACAUAUCUCUCUCUCUCUCUCUCUCUCUCUCUCAGUCCCAACUCCUGUAAAAUUCUAGCCAUCACCCCCUCUUUUACUACCCCUAAUUGAUUUACGUCAUAGGCAGCUAAAUUCCAAAUAUGGAAUAGAUAUGCACCAUACCCUGGUUAUCGACAGUGAUUUAGACAGCUUUUAACUAGCUCCUGAUGUUGUCUGCUGUUAUAUAUAUUUUAGAUGAAAUCUAUUUUAUAUUUUAUUUAACAGAUUUAAACUUUUGUUAUUUCUAUUUCUAUAUUUUAGAUCAAAUUUAUUUCAUAUUUUAUAUUUAAAGAUACAUUAUGGGAGAUUAGAUACAGAGCUGGCAGUUCUCACUAUAAUAGUUAAAAAAUAGAUAAUGUAAAUUUAGCGAUUGAAUUUUGGAUCUAGCCUCGAUCAGCAUUACUAAAAUUGGUACGAUAAAAAACACUUUUUGAUUUAAUUAUCAAUGAGCGUUUAGCAGCAGUUAGGAUUCUAAUCCGGUAAAUAUCGCAGGCUAGCGACGACAUCGGGUGUUGAUUAUGGUCUGGAUAGGUUAAUUAAUGUCUAAUUAAUAAUUUAGAUAACAUUUCAGGCCUAAAGAAAGACCUGCAACAGUAGGGUGGCCCAUGUGCUCUACAGAAAUAAAGUCCACCGCUGAUAGUUCGAGACUACCACUGAAGCGUACACAUUCGCCGUGCCGAGACCAACUUUCUGACAAUAUGAUACUAUAAAUAGCCAUGGCACGUGCAAUUCUCUACAAAUCUAUCAACUAUUACAGCCGUAAAAAAUUUAUUUUUGACGAUUUUGAAUAGCAGUGAAAUUAAGCUUCUUGGUUAUUACAGCAGAUUUAGAAAUUACGUUCGUUUUAUUUUUUAAAUCGCUUUAUCAUUAACUGUACCGUUAAGAGCGGCAUCUUUUGGUUUAAUACAAAUAAUAUCUCUGAAUCACUCGGAUUAGACAGGAACAUGAUACUUGCGGUAGUUUCAUUUUACUUUUACAAGGUUCUUAAAACGAUUGUUGAGCUACCUAACGUGCUUAUUUCUAAAUUCAAUUUCUUGUUCUAGCUUUCUGUUAUGUUUCGUAAAAAAGUAGUCUUGAUUAUCCCGACCUGUCAAUCAGACGUAGAAUGGUCGAUAGACUGGUUAAGCGAGACUAAUUUCAAAACAAGGGCACGUAACCUAUCUUUUACUCAAAAGUGUCUGGAUGUAAUGGACGACACUUGGAACCAGUUUUCAGUCUAUUAUUUAUAGAUGAUUAAUGGUCAUAGCUUAUUAAGUACAACAUGAUCGUUUAUUUAGUGACUAUAAUUGUGUGAAACUGAUUUGAGGCUUGGCAUAUAUAUAAAUAUUGUGGCGUAAUUGUCGAGAUAUAAGGAGAUAUAUGGAGAUAUUUAUUUAUGGUGGGUCACCCUAGCAACAGGCAAAUUCAGCUCUUGCAUAAUGUAUGUUUAACAGGUCUUAAGAAUGCGUUUGCGAGAGAACCAUGCAGGGACCGGCACAUGGUGGGUGACCGAUUUUCACCAUUUUUUUUUAUGUAUGAUGGGUAACUCCUCCAAACCCCACUGCCACAAUUUUAGAUCAAUCGAGCCAUUUUUAGAGCGUAGAAAAAAAUUUGAAAUUUUAAGACCGAAAAAAGCCAAAAAAUCAUCAUUUUCAGGCCACUUUUCAAUUAUUUCGUACAACUAAACUACGGCGAGUAGUGAGUAUACAUUCUGAAAGUUUGAUGGAUUUUCAUGGAGCGGUUUUUGGUAUAGGGACUUAUUGCUGCAAGGUACCAAAAUAGCUCAAUUUAGGUAUGUCAUUUGAUUCUAUCUAUAUCUCACCCACUGCGGGUUCAAGUAUUUUUUUGGAAAGCUGACUGAAAAGACAAUGAUCUAUAGUAUUAAGAUCAAGAAAAAAAUUGGGUGGCACUCGACCCGUUAAGUAGUAAAUAAUUUCCAUUUUUGUACAAAAAUGACGAUUUUUAACAAAAAUGACGAAAAAUAAACCGCUUUAUUUACACACUCAAAAGUGUAACAUGGCACUUGAAACCAAAUUAACGUGGUUUCCAGUUCCGUUAAGAGCAAGCCAUAAUAAAAAUAGAAAUAAACAAAUAAAUAUAAACGCAGAUUAUAUACUUUCAUCAAAAAAUUCAAAAUUAAAAAAUGUUCCAUUAUCAAAACUACAAAUGUUAAUACUUAUUACUAUCUAUAUGUUAAUACUUAUUACUAUCUAUAUGUUAAUACUUAUUACUAUCUAUCUAUCAAUCUAGCGCUAUCUAUCUGUUUAUACAAUAAGUAUAUAAUCACGAAAACGGAGCUCACAAUGACACCGUUAAAAUUUUCAAACGAUGAAGUUUGAAAAGCUUAAUUUACUGUAAAUGCCAAAAGAGCUGUUCUUGGUAAAUACAAUUAAUCUCUCUAGACUAUUUGUCAACAUUUUAUUAAUUCGGCAAUAUAACCUCAUGAUCUAGUAGAAGGAGGAUGAAUUUUUGAACAGCAAAUCGUAAAAACUAAAUAGUGUAGUAGUCAUAUAUAUCUGUCUAUACUUGACAAACGAAUCAAGCGAUAUUUCAAAAAGACAAAAAACAAAUUGUAUAUGACCGUAAGGUCACUAUUUUAGCAUACUCCCCGCAAUGUUUCGUUUGAUUAUACCUAAUCCCAUUCAACACUGCCGUAAUGAAAGCAAAUUUCUGUUCCAAAUUAUGAUUGGUCAAUAGUCCGAUUAACAACCAAUACCUACCUGUGUAACAAUAUUAUUCUGGUUUAAACAGAGUUUCAAAUAUGUUAACAUAACGUUACGUCAUGAUUCACGAAAUUUAUUACGCCCAAUUAACCAGUGCAUAGCAGAAUAUUGCAGAAACACUAAUUGCGUGACAAACGAGGCUAUCAACAUGGCUACAAUGUAAACAAUACUGUUUGGAGACGAACAAUACCUUAAAUCACUGUCCAAAGUUUUAGGGAAGAACCCAGAUUAAACGAAAGUCCAUGAUUCUCUCGCGAACUCAUUCUUAACUUUUGUUAUUUCUAGUUUUGUAUUUUAUCAUAUUUUCGUUGUGUAUCGUAUUGUAAAGCGCUUUGUUGUGGAAGUAUCGCUAUAGAAAUGUAUGUAUAUUAUAAUAAUUAUUACCUAAUUUGGUCAACAAAUAUGAUAUAAGUUUUAUAACAAAGACAAAUGUAAAUGACCAACAUGUUCAUUAAUCUAUAACUCAGUUAACGCAUCAAAAUAACCAUCAUACUUUCUAUAUUUUUGGUUAUGAACUUCGAAUCAAUAAUUUGUUAAGAUAAAAAUAUUGUUUCAGCCACCAUAUUUCUCAAUUCCUUGUCUAUAAAUUUUAAUUUGAAAACAAUGUCGCAACGACACUAUUGUUACACUAGGCCUUAAACCUAUCUGGUUAUCAGGAGGCUGCAUUAUUUGCUCACAUUACCCGGUGUAAUACCCAGUAUACCCUGUGUAAUACCCAGCAGACCAGAUGUAAUACCCACUAUACCCGGUGCAAUACCCAGUACACCAGAUGUAAUACUCAGUAGACCAGGUGUAACACCCACUAGACCAUAUGUAAUACUCACUAUACCCUGUGUAAUACUCAGUAGACCAGGUGUAACACCCAAUUUACACGGUGUAAUACCUAGUAGACCAGGUAUGGGGGGGGGGGGGGGGCUAGAGAUGUACCCCAUAAAUUAUUUAACAUUUAAUCAAAGAUGCAUUAUGUAAGACUUAGAUAAAUAGCUGACCGUUCUGACUAUAAAUAGUUCAAAUAAUACAGUUAAUGAAAAAUAAAUAUAUUGAAAAUUUCA